rnacentral:rRNA from 1 species
UACGGAGGGUGCGAGCGUUGUUCGGAAUCACUGGGCGUAAAGGGCGUGUAGGCGGCCCGCUAAGUCUGAUGUGAAAGCCCGGGGCUCACCCCCGGAAGUGCAUUGGAAACUGGCGGACUCGAGUCCCGGAGAGGAGAGUGGAAUUCCUGGUGUAGCGGUGAAAUGCGUAGAUAUCAGGAGGAACACCGGUGGCGAAGGCGGCUCUCUGGACGGUGACUGACGCUGAGACGCGAAAGCGUGGGGAGCAAACAGG